AAUGAGAUUGAUUCAGUUCUAUUUCGUUUUUUAAUAAGCUGAAAUUUAUUAGAUUUGAUUCUGAAGCGAUUUAGUGGAUGAGAAAUUGUGCACUUGGAUUGAUGAAACUAUAUGUGAGGAUUCUGCUGCUGUUUCUGUGCGUAUUGCGUAAUGAUAUCGAUUCUAAUGAUUCUGAGUUUUGAUUUUUGAGUUAUGCCAUAUCGUCUGUGAAGUAAAUUGAGUUGUUUGGAUACAUGGAAACUUUUAUGAAAUAGUGUUUUUUUAGUUAGGAAUUUGUGUAAAAAUGUAAUGAAAGAAAUUGCUGGUUCACAUUCUACUUAUUUGGGGCAGUGUAUUGUAAGUGAGGAAGUGACUCAGACUCCAAUCCCCGCUUCUAUUCGUUUCGAUGCGCACCUAUCGAUAGUUUGGAUUAUAUUUUGGUUAAUUCCCUGAUGAUUUAAGCUUUUUAUCCGACAUUUAAUUUGGAUUGGGUUAGUGGCUCCAGUCAUGUCGUAGAAGAUUGGCUUGCGGUUGGAGUAUAAGCUUCAAUGCUACUCCAUUUUAUCGGUCUAUGACUAAGCUGACUUCCGGCAUGAUUUCAAGCGCAUUACAUAUAAACAUGGUCUAACUACACUGAAAUUGCAACUACUUUUUGAAUUUGAAGCUUCUGCUACAGCCUACAUAUAUGUGACUAAUGGUGUGUUGAGUCUAAUGCUAUUAGGUUAUCAUGUUGAGUGGCUUUCUGUUUUGAAUGAUUAUCUUCUCUAUUGGUUUGCUUUUAUAUGUUGCAAUGUGCUGAUGAAUGUUAUAGGAAUGAAUAGACAGCUCCUAGUUCUUCAAUUGCUCUGCUUCUCAAUAGUAGAUUGAAGGGCUUGAUCACUUAGGGUAAUCAUUUAUUGUUGUACAGCUGAGCUGAAGAUGAUGGUUGAAUAAAUAGAUUGAAAACAAAUUUACUAUACAAGAUUUUAGCAUCCGGAAUCCCCUUUUCAAGGAUAGAAAAAACUGGAGUUUUCUCGUUGAUGGUAGUCUUUAACUAAUAGGGAAGCUUUAUUGAUGAUCUUAAGAAUUCACAUAAAAAAGGAAAGGAAGAGUUUAUUAGGCAGACAGAAGCUUAACCUCAUAUACAAGAAAAUGCAUAAAGAAGUUAUUGUAGAUGAAUUAGUAAGCAACUGCUUUAACUGGUACUCUAUAACCUUGAUUUCAUAGGAUAGUUGAGUUCUAGUAUCUGCAGUUUCGCGUUCUUUGCUUAAGAUCGUUCCAAGGGCUGAAACUCCCUGCAACCACUAGGAAUGUAAUUCUCGAGUGAGCUUCUAAUCAUAUGACUAUCUGCACCAAGUCAUGAAUAUUCACAAGAAACCACACGUUUCCUACAUAUUUGGACUAGCUUUGAUAUGCUAUACUAUAGUCAUAUCUACUGCUAGUUUUGGAAUUCGGUAAAGGCCAAUGCUGUACUCUUGUUGUAGAUGUCAUCACCUUCUAUCAUUUCCAAAAUAACGUUCUGUUUUCUGGUUACCGGCAUAGUGGGAGCCGGGAGGGAACACCUGAGAUAGACUUGCACGGAUUCUUCUUUCUGAAACCUUGAACACAGUUUAUUUAGCUUGAUAUGUGUGAAUCGUGUAGACAGAUGGAAAGGGAAUGUAGGUACCAACAGGCAGAAGCUGCUUGAAUUUUCGAAACGUAUAUUUUGUUUGCAUGCCUAUUAGAUAAAAUAACCUAUGUCUAUUAUUUCUAGAAGCAAUGUUGUUUAUAAGGUUGAUACAUGAUUUCUUCUAUUGAAUUAAAUCAUCAGCAUGGUUGAAGAUUAAUGUUUAUGCAUAGAUGCUUCCCUUUUAACUGUUAGGUUUGGACCACUAAGUGAAGUGAUGGUGAAGAUGUCUGCUUGCUGUCUCUCUCAUACUCUUGCAACUAUGGGUGAAUAUGCUGUAGAGGGCUGUGCUGCAACACACACACACACACACAGUGACGAGGCGACUGAUAUAGUCGGAAUCAUGUACGCGCCGGCGUGGAUGUGAAGAUGGAGAAACUAUCGGUGAUUCUGGAGAAGGCGGACGAGCUGCGGCUGAAGACGAUCAAAAACUUGGUGGAGCUGCUGACGCUGCAGCAGGAGGCGGAGUUCUUGGUCGCUGCCGUGGACCUCCAGUUCGGGAUCCGCGCUUGGGGCAUUCAACAAGAUCGCCGCCGCCCAUAAACAGAUCGGAAAAUUAACUAUGGAAUAAGGCGGCGGCCACCGAUUCAACCAUAUGCGGUUGUUGGUUAUUUUCCCCGCCACUUUUUCUAAUUAACCAGUUUUUUUUGUCACGUCUUAUUUUAAUUGAUUUUGAAUGAAAUUUUGUUAAAUUUUCUUUAUGUUGAAUUAAGAAAGUACUGAUUUUAAUUUUACAAUUGUAUUAAGAUUUUCUAUAGUUGUGCCUCGGUUUAUGUAAUUUAUUAUGUACUAUUAAUUGUGGUUAGUUGAGAAAUUUACGUGUUACAUUU